rnacentral:rRNA from 1 species
CGGCGACCGGCGCACGGGUGAGUAACGCGUAUCCAACCUUCCGUACACUCAGGGAUAGCCUUUCGAAAGAAAGAUUAAUACCUGAUGGUAUGAUGAGAUUGCAUGAUAGCAUCAUUAAAGAUUUAUCGGUGUACGAUGGGGAUGCGUUCCAUUAGGUAGUAGGCGGGGUAACGGCCCACCUAGCCAACGAUGGAUAGGGGUUCUGAGAGGAAGGUCCCCCACAUUGGAACUGAGACACGGUCCAAACUCCUACGGGAGGCAGCAGUGAGGAAUAUUGGUCAAUGGGCGCUAGCCUGAACCAGCCAAGUAGCGUGAAGGAUGAGGGCUCUAUGGGUCGUAAACUUCUUUUAUAUAAGAAUAAAGUGCAGUAUGUAUACUGUUUUGUAUGUAUUAUAUGUAUAAGGAUCGGCUAACUCCGUGCCAGCAGCCGCGGUAAUACGGAGGAUCCGAGCGUUAUCCGGAUUUAUUGGGUUUAAAGGGAGCGUAGGUGGACUGGUAAGUCAGUUGUGAGAGUUUGUGGCUCAACCGUAAAAUUGCAGUUGAUACUGUCAGUCUUGAGUACAGUAGAGGUGGGCGGAAUUCGUGGUGUAGCGGUGAAAUGCUUAGAUAUCACGAAGAACUCCGAUUGCGAAGGCAGC